AUUAAUAAAAGCUUGUUUUGUAAGGGUAAAAUUGUAAAGAGGUGAAUAUUUUAAGACUCUGUGAGGGUAUAAAAGUAAAUUCAAUGAACAGCCAUACUCACAUGCUCAGAUUCCUUUCCAUCGCUGCCCUUAAAAGAAACCUAAUCGACAUUCCUCUGAAUCAAACCGAAGAUUGAAUGCUACGCAAAUGAAACGGUGAAACGGUGGGAAGCAAUCAAUCAUGAUUUGAGAUAUAAACUUGCAGAUACAAGAUACAGGGAGUCAGGGACGGAUCAUUUUCUCUUUCCCUUCCAAACCUCUGGAUCCCGUCUUCCGAAUUCCACAUCUGCAGCCACAAAAGGGCUCUUUAAAGUCACCGUUUCACCCUUUCACUAACCCUAAAUCCUCUUCGUUUGGUCGUCAUAAGGUGCUGUCCAAGAUCAAAUUAAAGAUAAGGCAAGGUCUUAGGUCAGGCUUCAAAUAGGGAAAUCGAUUAUCAUCAGAUCAGGUUAACAACAAACGCUAUCACAGAUUCAAUCUCUUUAUUCUGCAGUUGCUUGGAUACGAACAGGUGAAGCAGUAAGUCGUUAUGAUUGAUUUUGUGUUUCUCGAGGGUUUUUUGUAUUCAGUGUAUCUACAUAAAUGAUCAACCAGGUUUGAAUUUUUGGAACUUCACUUUUUGCAACGCUUUUGUUUCACCAUUAUGAUUUUAAUUUUUUUGGAUCUUUUUUUAAUUUUGUUCCACCAGGUUCGAUUUCUGCUCAGAUGGAACGAUUUAAUUUUGGAUGUGGCUGAUUAAAGUUGAAUCAUCAUUAUAUAUAAAUGGUUUGCAAAACGUCUCUAUGGUGAUUCUCAUUACUUUGCUUUGCUCAUUAUUUGCAUUGUGUUUAGUACUUUAGUUGCAAAACUUCGUGAAUUGAAUUUGAGACUGAAGUGGAGAUGUGGCGUUUGGAAGGAAGGAAUGGAGGAUCCUUGGAUAGCAGAUGGUGAAUUUAGCAUUCGGGUCUCAAUCGGGAAGAGUUGGACAUUGGAUAAGUGCUUGUAAACGUUCAGGCUUGAAAACCGACGGUGAACAAAAUCAUUUAAAUCACAAAUGUAUUUAUUCUUUUUAUUUUGAAUUUAUUUACUUAAAUGUUUCUGAAGCUACUGGUAGUGCUAAUAACGAUUACUUUGAAGAAGUUUAUGAGGUUAGCCACCUAACGACUCAAUAAGUAGUAACAACUUUGUUUCACUCAAAAAUAUGUUUUACUCUUACUUAACAUAUUUAAACGUUAUUCGUUUGCAAUUUUAUCAGUACUAUGCCAAUGGUGAUGCGUGGCACCUUCCACCUGGCGUGUAUAAGACUAUAUUAACUCUGAAAGAGUCCGGAGGUCAUAAAUUAUAAUCAAAUAUUCAUCUUUAUCUUAUAAGUUGGCAUCUUUUGUAAGUAAAUAAUCAUUCAUUAUAUAUAUAAUAUCUUACAGUUAAACUGCUACCGUGAAGGCUGAAUUUCGAUGUUUACUUUUGAAAAUUUUGGGUUAACUAAGACUAUUUUGGUAGUUUUCCAUUAGUUUAAGUUGAUUUAAAUAUAUUUACUGGAUUUCCUGAAUUAUUUAUGUCAGACAAAACUUGCAAGAAAUUCUGAAUACUGUUAUGGGAGAUCUCAAAAACAAGUUAUUGUUCACUUGGGAUCAAGAACACUGCACAGAUUCAGGUUUCAUGUGUCUGGAAAACCAAGAUAAGCCGCUGUUCUUGAAAGAACUUAGUCAUAUAUGGGAGAAAAAGUACCAGAAUCUUUCGUGGAGUGAUGGAGAAUAUUCGGCUUCCAACACGCCGUUGGUCACCUAUCCUGAGAAGGCCCUUCUAAAUCCUGUAUGACGUCAUAUAUGAAUGUAUAUCUCAAAUGGGUCGCCAAAACAUUUAGGUUAAGAACUGGUGGGUAAAAUGGGUUGAACGGGAUAUAACUUAUAAGUGUUGAAAAUCAUCAAUGAGUGUUUUUAAAAUCAUUCAGCAUCUAAUGUAUUUAAGGUUAGUUAGGUCAUUUUAAGAAAGCGAGAGUAAGGAUGAAACCCGUAAAAGAUUUUUAAAAAAUGUAUUACUAUUAGGUUGAAAAGUGAUAAUCAUGUUAGGUAAGUCUGAUGCGUACCAAGUAUAUGAUGGAAUGCCUUAAUGACGCCACUGCCUAUGGUGCUGGUUCCGCCUCUUGCUGCUCGAACCAGGUUUUGGUUUCGGUUUUGACUAUAUCAUAAGGAUGUGAUGCUGGGAAGCACCAACAAGCUUUCAACCUCACCGGAGGAUUCGCUCUGUCGAAGUGCUUUGAUGACGAUAGUCCUAUAAUGGCAUGGGUAUUCCAUGACCCAAACUAAAUGAUGUUGCAAAGGGACCUGGAGACAAAAGAAGCCUGGUAAACGCAUGUCAAAAUGAUAUGUGCCAUGUUCUAAAAGCCAUGCACAUCACGUUCCCAUUUGCCAACGGCUGUUAUUUUUCUUUUGCAUGAUUAGAUAGUGCCAUAGUCGGCACUACUAUUAGUUGGAAACAAGGCACCGGAUUUGGAAGCAGAGCGAGUUUUUGAUCAAGAAUUCAUCAAGGUUAGGCUCCACUUUCGUUUGUCCAACCGAAAUGCAAACCUGUCACACCCCGAAAUUAUCAGAGCUGGCGUGACUGGACCGGUAUCUU